rnacentral:misc_RNA from 1 species
UCUCCACUUUCUUAACUGUUGGCAUGAUAAGGCCUACAAACCUUAUGGUUGUGACUGGAAUAUCAAGCCUUCCAGGCCUCUUCUUCUUCAACACCAUCCUCAACACCAAUGGUCCAAAAGAUGAAGCUAAAGUAGAAACCAAAGAAUAAGGGAGGGCAGGCAAAGGACGGCUUCUAAAAACGAAGCCGUAAAGGGGAGCAAGGAGAUGAUAGAGAAGCAGAAGUGGAUGAUGGAGAUUGCAAUGCUUUUGAAUGGUUUAGUGUUAGGGUUAAAAUUUAUGUCGAUGAUGGAGAAAUUAACACAGGAGUUUUGUUGUUGGCUGGGAGAGAGAAGGGAAGAGACUAGAGAAAGAAAUUAUAUAGAUUUAUUUUUAAUUAAAAUAUUUUAAAAAUUUUAGUUGAAGUGUCAUGUCAGUUUUUACGACGGGGAAACCAACCAUUUCAAAUAAUAGAUACUUUAUUGUUAUUCAAAUUAAUGUUCAAUGGGUUUUAAGAUAUUCAAGGACGGUGUUGUUACAAUGCCGUAAGCUCAGGGAUGAUGCGUAAAUUUAUCCUACUUAAGAGAUCACAUGAGCAAUGUAAGAAAGCCUGUUGCUAAACUAUAAUAAAGGAUGCUGUUACAAAGGUAAACAAGUAAAUUACCACGUCGAAGCUCCUCAUCGAACU